rnacentral:rRNA from 1 species
CGGACGGGUGAGUAACGCGUGGGUAACCUACCCUGUACACACGGAUAACAUACCGAAAGGUAUGCUAAUACGGGAUAAUAUAUUUGAGAGGCAUCUCUUGAAUAUCAAAGGUGAGCCAGUACAGGAUGGACCCGCGUCUGAUUAGCUAGCUGGUAAGGUAACGGCUUACCAAGGCGACGAUCAGUAGCCGACCUGAGAGGGUGAUCGGCCACAUUGGAACUGAGACACGGUCCAA